AUUGAACGCUGGCGGCAGGCCUAACACAUGCAAGUCGAACGGUAACAGGGUGCUUGCACCGCUGACGAGUGGCGAACGGGUGAGUAAUGCGUCGGAACGUGCCGAGUAGUGGGGGAUAACGCAGCGAAAGUUGUGCUAAUACCGCAUACGUACUGAGGUAGAAAGUGGGGGACCUUCGGGCCUCACGCUAUUCGAGCGGCCGACGUCUGAUUAGCUAGUAGGUGAGGUAAAGGCUCACCUAGGCGACGAUCAGUAGCGGGUCUGAGAGGAUGAUCCGCCACACUGGGACUGAGACACGGCCCAGACUCCUACGGGAGGCAGCAGUGGGGAAUUUUGGACAAUGGGCGAAAGCCUGAUCCAGCCAUGCCGCGUGUCUGAAGAAGGCCUUCGGGUUGUAAAGGACUUUUGUCAGGGAGGAAAUCCCUAGCGCUAAUACCGCUGGGGGAUGACAGUACCUGAAGAAUAAGCACCGGCUAACUACGUGCCAGCCGCCGCGGUAAUAC
rnacentral:rRNA from 1 species